rnacentral:rRNA from 1 species
CCUACGGGAGGCAGCAGUGAGGAAUAUUGGUCAAUGGACGAGAGUCUGAACCAGCCAAGUAGCGUGAAGGAUGACUGCCCUCUGGGUUGUAAACUUCUUUUAUAUGGGAAUAAACUGUUCCACGUGUGGGCUUUUGUAUGUACCUUAUGAAUAAGGAUCGGCUAACUCCGUGCCAGCAGCCGCGGUAAUACGGAGGAUCCGAGCGUUAUCCGGAUUUAUUGGGUUUAAAGGGAACGUAGGUGGAUUGUUAAGUCAGUUGUGAAAGUUUGCGGCUCAACCGUAAAAUUGCAGUUGAAACUGGCAGUCUUGAGUACAGUAGAGGUGGGCGGAAUUCGUGGUGUAGCGGUGAAAUGCUUAGAUAUCACGAAGAACUCCGAUUGCGAAGGCAGCUCACUGGACUGCAACUGACACUGAGGCGCGAAAGUGUGGGUAUCAAACAGGAUUAGAUACCCGAGUAGUC